rnacentral:rRNA from 1 species
GAAAACCGCAUGGUUUUCUUUUAAAAGAUGGCUCUGCUAUCACUUCUGGAUGGACCCGCGGCGUAUUAGCUAGUUGGUGAGGUAAAGGCUCACCAAGGCAGUGAUACGUAGCCGACCUGAGAGGGUAAUCGGCCACAUUGGGACUGAGACACGGCCCAGACUCCUACGGGAGGCAGCAGUAGGGAAUCUUCCACAAUGGACGCAAGUCUGAUGGAGCAACGCCGCGUGAGUGAAGAAGGGUUUCGGCUCGUAAAGCUCUGUUGUUAAAGAAGAACGUGGGUAAGAGUAACUGUUUACCCAGUGACGGUAUUUAACCAGAAAGCCACGGCUAACUACGUGCCAGCAGCCGCGGUAAUACGUAGGUGGCAAGCGUUAUCCGGAUUUAUUGGGCGUAAAGCGAGCGCAGGCGGUCUUUUAAGUCUAAUGUGAAAGCCUUCGGCUCAACCGAAGAAGUGCAUUGGAAACUGGGAGACUUGAGUGCAGAAGAGGACAGUGGAACUCCAUGUGUAGCGGUGAAAUGCGUAGAUAUAUGGAAGAACACCAGUGGCGAAGGCGGCUGUCUGGUCUGCAACUGACGCUGAGGCUCGAAAGCAUGGGUAGCGAACAGGAUUAGAUACCCUGGUAGUCCAUGCCGUAAACGAUGAUUACUAAGUGUUGGAGGGUUUCCGCCCUUCAGUGCUGCAGCUAACGCAUUAAGUAAUCCGCCUGGGGAGUACGACCGCAAGGUUGAAACUCAAAAGAAUUGACGGGGGCCCGCACAAGCGGUGGAGCAUGUGGUUUAAUUCGAAGCUACGCGAAGAACCUUACCAGGUCUUGACAUCUUCUGACAGUCUAAGAGAUUAGAGGUUCCCUUCGGGGACAGAAUGACAGGUGGUGCAUGGUUGUCGUCAGCUCGUGUCGUGAGAUGUUGGGUUAAGUCCCGCAACGAGCGCAACCCUUAUUACUAGUUGCCAGCAUUAAGUUGGGCACUCUAGUGAGACUGCCGGUGACAAACCGGAGGAAGGUGGGGACGACGUCAAAUCAUCAUGCCCCUUAUGACCUGGGCUACACACGUGCUACAAUGGAUGGUACAACGAGUCGCGAGACCGCGAGGUUAAGCUAAUCUCUUAAAACCAUUCUCAGUUCGGACUGUAGGCUGCAACUCGCCUACACGAAGUCGGAAUCGCUAGUAAUCGCGGAUCAGCAUGCCGCGGUGAAUACGUUCCCGGGCCUUGUACACACCGCCCGUCACACCAUGAGAGUUUGUAACACCCAAAGCCGGUGGGGUAACCUUUUAGGAGCUAGCCG